UCAGAAGGGGGCUAUCGUUGCUCGGAAUGACUGGGCGUAAAGGGCGCGUAGGCGGACGGCACAGUCAGGCGUGAAAUUCCUGGGCUCAACCUGGGGACUGCGUCUGAGACGUGUUGUCUUGAGUAUGGAAGAGGGUUGUGGAAUUUCCAGUGUAGAGGUGAAAUUCGUAGAUAUUGGAAAGAACACCGGUGGCGAAGGCGGCAACCUGGUCCAUUACUGACGCUGAGGCGCGAAAGCGUGGGGAGAAAACAGG
rnacentral:rRNA from 1 species